rnacentral:rRNA from 1 species
AGGACGAACGCUGGCGGCGUGCUUAACACAUGCAAGUCGAGCGGUAAGGCCCUUUCGGGGGUACGACGAGCGGCGAACGGGUGAGUAACACGUGGGUGACCUGCCCUCAGCUCUGGGAUAAGCCUGGGAAACCGGGUCUAAUACUGGAUAUGACCCCAUGACGCAUGUUGUGGGGUGGAAAGCCUUGUGCGGCUGAGGAUGGGCCCGCGGCCUAUCAGCUUGUUGGUGGGGUGANGGCCUACCAGGGCGACGACGGGUAGCCGGCCUGAGAGGGCGACCGGCCACACUGGGACUGAGACACGGCCCAGACUCCUACGGGGAGGCAGCAGUGGGGAAUCUUGCGCAAUGGGCGAAAGCCUGACGCAGCGACGCCGCGUGAGGGAUGACGGCCU